rnacentral:rRNA from 1 species
AAUUCACUAGUGAUUUUCCGGUUGAUCCCGCCGGAGGCUAUUGCUAUCAGGGUUUGACUAAGCCAUGCGAGUCGAGAGGUGAAAGACCUCGGCAUACUGCUCAGUAACACGUGGAUAAUCUGCCCUCAGAUGAGGAAUAAUCCCGGGAAACUGGGGCUAAUGCCUCAUAGGAGACGGGUGCUGGAAUGCUCUGUCUCUGAAAGGUCCGCCGUCUGAGGAUGAGUCUGCGUCCGAUUAGGUUGUUGUUGGGGUAACGGCCCACCAAGCCAUUGAUCGGUACGGGUUGUGGGAGCAAGAGCCCGGAGAUGGAUUCUGAGACAUGAAUCCAGGCCCUACGGGGCGCAGCAGGCGCGAAAACUUUACAAUGCGAGCAAUCGUGAUAAGGAAACCCUGAGUGCCUGUCAAUGCAGGCUGUUCUGGUGUUUAGUCCGCACCAGCUGUUCUGGUGUUUAGUCCGCACCAGGAGAAAGGGCGGGGCAAGACCGGUGCCAGCCGCCGCGGUAAUACCGGCUGCUCGAGUGAUAGCCACUUUUACUGGGCUUAAAGCGUUCGUAGCUUGGUCGUUAAGUCUCUGGGGAAAUCUUCUGGCUUAACCAGAAGGCGUCUCAGAGAAACUGGCGACCUUGGGACCGGGAGAGGUAAGACGUACUUCGGGGGUAGGAGUGAAAUCUUGUAAUCCCCGAGGGACGACCGAUGGCGAAGGCAUCUUACCAGAACGGCUCCGACAGUGAGGGACGAAAGCUGGGGGAGCAAACCGGAUUAGAUACCCGGGUAGUCCCAGCCGUAAACGAUGUGCGUUAGGUGUGUCAGUGACCACGAGUCACUGAGGUGCCGAAGGGAAACCGUGAAACGCACCGCCUGGGAAGUACGGUCGCAA